GGGUUUUGGUCUCGCCAUGAGGCCAAGAGGUGAUUGCGUUGGUCGGGCCGCCAACG
rnacentral:ncRNA from 2 species